AUGCUCAUUCAAAAAAACUACCAUAAUAUCAAGAUGAUCCAUUCAAGUUCUAUACAUCAUUUCAAAACAAGAUUCAACAUACAAAAUCUCAUGUUCAUUACAAUAAUCAUGAAGUCAUUACAAAAUCAUUUCCAUUACAAAUUCACCAAUACGUCAAAAAAUUACAAAACCUACUAUCUUAAUCCUAGCACACUACUCAUUCUUCAUACAUCUUCAUUUUUCUUCUCAAUGUCCAAACCAAGACCUUGCUAA